rnacentral:rRNA from 1 species
AACCUGGUUGAUCCUGCCAGUAGUCAUAUGCUUGUCUCAAAGAUUAAGCCAUGCAUGUCUAAGUAUAAGCGACUAUACUGUGAAACUGCGAAUGGCUCAUUAAAUCAGUUAUGGUUUAUUUGAUGGUACCUACUACUUGGAUAACCGUAGUAAUUCUAGAGCUAAUACAUGCAGGAAGACCCGACUUCGGAAGGGUUGUAUUUAUUAGAUAAGAAACCAAUCCAGCUUGCUGGUUGCGUGCCGAGUCACAAUAACUGCUCGAAUCGCAUGACUUUACGUCGGCGAUGGUUCAUUCAAAUUUCUGCCCUAUCAGCUUUCGAUGGUAGGAUCGAGGCCUACCAUGGCGUUUACGGGUAACGGAGAAUUAGGGUUCGAUUCCGGAGAGGGAGCCUGAGAAAUGGCUACCACAUCCAAGGAAGGCAGCAGGCGCGUAAAUUGCCCGAAUCCUGACACAGGGAGGUAGUGACAAGAAAUAACGAUACAGGGCUACAUCUAGUCUUGUAAUUGGAAUGAGUACAAUUUACAUCUCUUAACGAUGAUCAAUUGGAGGGCAAGUCUGGUGCCAGCAGCCGCGGUAAUUCCAGCUCCAAUAGC